GUCACGUAGAUACUCCGCCUGGUAAUAACUUAGUUACCGGGUUUAUUAGAGUGUAGUAGUAGUUUGUUUCUGAGUGGUAAAUUUAUCAUUACCACGACACAACUAGACGGGUAAUGCCCGUUACUACCAAUGUCGUAGAGUAAUAUACGGCACUCCGAGCAGUACUGAUUUCAUUAAUAUCCUUUAUUCUAAAAUUGUAACGAGAACACCUGAGAGACCCACCUAAAUAACCUCAAAAUUAAAACAAAUACGUAUUUAAUUUUCACCGGCGUUCCAGUUAUGCUGAAAUAAAUGUGAUGCAUCCUAAAUAAAUAAAAUUUAAACAUAGACAAAAUUCACGCAGGCCUUGAUAACUUUGUAAAAUUCAUAAAAUUGCUAAACUUUUACAAAUACUUUGAAGGAAAAUUAAUGUCCAAUUUUUGUAAACUUACUCAGAUCAAGGGCGUCUGUUUGUAAAAUUAUUUUACAAAACGCACGGAUUUUACGAAGUUACCAAGGACUGCGUGAACUCCGUGAGGUACAUACACCUGGGGUUAAAAAUCUGGUGCAUUUAUACUAGUAUUGAUUUGAUAAUAAAUUCCUACCCAAUUUGUAGUAAUUUGUUUCUGAGCGGUAAAUUUUUCAUUACCAUAACAUUACUAAACGGUAAUGCCCGAUUAUUACCUGUGUGGGUAGAGUCAUAUCUGUACUACUCCGGUCAGUAAUGAUUUAACACUAGUUUUCUAAGAGUAUCAGGACUACUUUGGUCCGACCCACCUAAAUAUCACUUUAAAAUUAACAAAAACAGGCAUUUAUUUGUCAUCGGCGUAAAAGAUUUCCUGAUAAAAAUGUAAUGUAUCCUUACAUAGUAAAUUAAAUGUGACACAAUUCACUCAGACCUUGGUAACAUUGUAUAAUCCUUAAACUUACAAAAUUUUGUGAAAUUUUACGUAUAUUUCGAUAGAAAACUAGCUCCCAAAUUUUUGUAAGCUUACUCCGGUCAAAGGCGUCAAGUUUGUUAAAUUAUGUUACAAAAUGUAUAUUAAAGGUUUUACUAAAAGGAAAUGCUUACUUAAAAAUAUUUCUGAAAAAUACACAACGUGGCCAAAUAAUUGAAAGGAGAGGCUGGAAUUUGUACUUAUUUCAUAAAAACAUUUUUAUCGCCAAAUUUAUAAUUACAUUUCAUUUAGCCGGAAUGGCAGGAAAAUCUGGUAAUAGAAAAACUAUGUAUAAUUUCACCAUGAUUAUGCUGCGGCGUCCAAGCCUUGCAGUUUUAAAAACAAAAAAUUUUGUAAAAUUUUACAAAUAUUUUUAAGCAAAAUUAGCUUUCUAAUUUACGUAACUUACUCCAAUCAAGGGCGUCUCUCUAUUUAGUAAAAGUUUGUAAAAUUAGUUUACAAAAUUUAUUUAAGGUUAUUACUAAAAGGAAAUGUUUACUGAAAAAUAUUUCUGAAAAAUAAAAUGCAGCGAAGUGAUUUGGAGGCAAGGCUGGAAUUGUUAUUUCCUAACACCAUUUUCAUCCCCAAAUUUACUAUUUGCUUUAGCCUAGCCAAAAGAAGCGAAACAUCUUAUAACAGAAAAAACCAUGUGCAAUUUCAUCAUGAUUAUUCUGUGGCGUCGAAGCCUUGCAGUCUUAAAAACGAAAACUUUUCUAAAGUUUGACAAGUAUUUCUAAACAAAAUUUUUGUAGCCAAUCAAGGGCACCAAUUACAAAAAGCAUCGAUUUUACAAUUACUAAUUAAUUAUCAAUGAAAUAACUGCUUGAAUUGCCUUCUUGCAAACUUCAUUGUACAGGAUGUUGCUAUAUUUUAAUGCAAAAUAAAAUCUCAUUAGGUAUCAGGUUACAAUUAGUUCUUACAUAUUUUACACUUUUUCUUAUCUUCAAUCAAACCUUUUUCAUGAACCAAAAACAAUAAUUUUCCAAUGUAUGCAAAUUUCAUCUAAAUAAGUACGACUUUCAAUCUAUGUAAUUGCCUUUAUUACUACACGCAUUCAUCAUGUGCCAAAAUGCAUGCAAAAAAUCCUGGACUGCACUCUCAGAAAACUGGUAUUAAAUCAUUCCUGGCCGGAGUACAUAUAUGACUCUACUGGUACAUAAUAACGUGCAUUACCGUUUACUAAUAUUGUAGUAAUAAUGAAAGAUUUCCCACUCAGAAACAAACUACUACCAAUCCGGCAUGAAGUUAUUAUAAAAUUAAUGGAUUAUAUGUGUAAACUAUUAGAAAACUGGUGUUAAAUCAUUACUGACCGAAGUACAUACUCUAUCGGCACUGGUAAUAGCGGCAUUACCGUUUGGUAAUGUUGUGGUACACUCUUAGCAACUUGGUAAAGAAUUCCUAAUAAGCGUCUUUACCGAGCUCUUGGUAAUUACGCGUCCUACAUAAAUCAUACGGGAUUAUUACCGUAUCAAUACCAAACGGGUAACUAGCCUUCCACCGGAAUAUUUUAAGCUAUCUUUAUAAUUUUGGUAAUAAAUUUCUACCAGCCGGUAAUUAUAUCCUUCAAAUUUAGAAAACACUCUUUACCAUAAUUUUAAUCAAAAGUGCACUACAAGUUGUGGUGCUGAUGAGAUCUACAUUUUGGUGUAGUUUAUUACCAUAGAGGUAAGAAUUUUAAUACAUUUUGUAUGAAUUGUGAGACGCUACACAGCGGCGCUGUUUUCAGUUUUAGUUUCCGCUCAGCUCAACUCAAGUCAACAUGGCGAAAUAAUCUGCGUGUCCAAUUCUGCAUGUGGGAAAAACUGAUAAAAACUGGAAAUUAAACAGGAUUUUUGGAAAUAGUCAAACGAAAAAAUCAGUUGGAAAUCGGAGCAGAGAUUUUUCUGCAAGACGACCAGGGGGCGAAGAUCGACGACGAAGUAUUCCCUCUCCUUGCUGAAAACCUUAUCACCCAAAAUAUUGAAUUCUUUGUCAAGGACGAAAUACAAACCGAAGUAGAAUUGGAACCGGCCUCGCCAGUUUCAUUAAUAAUUUACGUUGCACGUCUUGAUGAGUCGCCGAUGUCCAGUAAUGGUUUCCGAAGAACCAAAAUUUCCAAUGAAGUCGAUAUUUUCUCUCGGAUUGUAAACGCUGCAACGACUGAGAGCGCCGAAAUUUCCCAUUUAGUAGCAGAGUGCAAUGAGAAAAACUGCAUCGAUAAACCGUCGUCGACAACUUUAGUUAAUGCAUUUGUUGCAUAUUUAUGUAAUAGAGAGUUUCUCCUACAACCUCCGACUAGAAACACUUAGCAGCUGCAAUAAUUAAGCUACUGCCUUCAUUGAGAUGUUCAAGUCAGGGGAGGGUCUGGACAUAUUAUUUGAUGACGUCAACCGGUGUGGACUCAUCCAAAAUCGACGAUUUAUCGGAAUUUGAAGGGGGAAUAGAAGAAUAAAUGUGUAAAUAUGUAUAUGUAUGUGUGUAACUCAAUAGUUUUGCAUUAUACUUAAAUUUUAUAA